GACCUGCGGAAGGAUCAUUAUUGAAUUUUGAAAGGGGUUGUAGCUGAUCUUUUAGAUAUGUGCACACCUCUUUUAUCUACACACCCAUGUGCACCUUUUGUAGGCAUUUUGCCUAUGUUUUCAUACACACAUAACUCUGUUACAAGAAUGUUAUUGAUGAAAUUAAUAUACAACUUUCAACAACGGAUCUCUUGGCUCUCGCAUCGAUGAAGAACGCAGCGAAAUGCGAUAAGUAAUGUGAAUUGCAGAAUUCAGUGAAUCAUCGAAUCUUUGAAYGCACCUUGCGCUCCUUGGUAUUCCGAGGAGCAUGCCUGUUUGAGUGUCAUUAAAUUAUCAACCUCUUCAAGAGGCUUGGAUUUGGAGUGUUGCUGGCUUCAGUUGUUGGCUCCUCUUAAAUGCAUUGAGCUUGUAUAUAGGCUUUGGUUUGAUAAUAUCUAUGCCAUCGCUGUAAAUGCAAAAAACACUUGAAAUUUGACCUCNAAUCANGNANGANUACCCGCUGAACUUAAGCAUA
rnacentral:rRNA from 1 species